rnacentral:rRNA from 1 species
UACGGAGGGGGCUAGCGUUGUUCGGAAUUACUGGGCGUAAAGCGCGCGUAGGCGGACCUGCAAGUCGGGGGUGAAAGCCCGAGGCUCAACCCUGGAAUGGCAUUGAAUACUGGCGGACUAGAGUACCGGAGAGGAAACUGGAAUUUACGGUGUAGCAGUGAAAUGCGUAGAGAUCGUAAGGAAGACCAGUGGCGAAGGCGAGUUUCUGGACGGUAACUGACGCUGAGGCACGAAGGCCAGGGGAGCAAACGGG